AUUGAACGCUGGCGGCAGGCCUAACACAUGCAAGUCGAACGAGAGGCGGACGGGAGGGUAAUGUAUGGGAAAAUGACUGAUGGAGAGGGAUAACUACUGGAAACGGUUGCUAAUACCGCAUACCAUCAGAUGUGCCCAGAUGGGAUUAGCUUGUUGGUGGGGUAACGGCUCACCAAGGCGACGAUCCCUAGCUGGUCUGAGAGGAUGACCGGCCACACGGGAACUGAGACACGGUCCAGACUCCUACGUGAGGCAGCAGUGGGGAAUAUUGCACAAUGGGCGCAAGCCGGAUGCAGCCAUGCCGCGUGUAUGAAGAAGGCCUUAGGGUUGUAAAGUACUUUCAGCGGGGAGGCGUUACCCGCAGAAGAAGCACCGGCUAACUCCGUGCCAGCCGCCGCGGUAAUAC
rnacentral:rRNA from 1 species